AUAGAUUAUAUACCUAUAUAA
rnacentral:misc_RNA from 1 species